rfam:Capsicum annuum cultivar Zunla-1 chromosome 1, whole genome shotgun sequence
ACCUUAUGUUUGGGACAUUGAAUGAGUUUUCCAUUGAAUCUUUCCCAAACCUCAUAUAAGGGUUCUCCAUUUAAUUGCCUAAAGUUAAUAAUAUCAUCACGUAAUU